GUAUUGUGAAUGAAAGGUGAAAAGAAUUCCGAAAGGUAGGUGAAAAAGAACUAGGAACCAAACGUGUGCUUCUGUGCCACAAAGAUAACUGCUUGUGGAAGAAAGAAUUGUCGAAUUUACCAUUCCAGCGAUCAGACCUCUUCAUAACCAUCGACACACAGCAAUAAUUAAAGCCCGAAUACUGGCGAUCUAACUAUGGGAUAAUCCUUUUCACACUAUGAGUCUAUUAAAGAUUAAAAUGCUCAGGGGUACACACCUGCCAUCCAACCAAUAGUUAGCAGUUAAAUGUUAUACGAGCCAAUGUUAAUAUCUGGAUCUGUUCGAAAGAAAUAAUGCUGUCUAAUAGAUGUAAGUCACACAACUAUACUUGUAAAAUGUGGGCCUCAUUAACCUUGCUGCAAAUAAGAUUCAUCGUCCUAAGCAUACAUCAUUCGCAAUCUCGUUAAGAUGGGUGUUCGCUUAUGUAACAAAUGGGAAAAGCCCAAAUAAAUAGCCAAAGUUCUGUCUUAAAUCAAAUUCAACAAGCAACUUAUUACAAAUAAUAACGGGCUCAAAAGUAGGAUUAAUAGGAUCCAUCUUUUCAAAAGUGUGUAGCAUCUUAUGAGCUAAAU
rnacentral:rRNA from 1 species